rnacentral:lncRNA from 1 species
AUGCAAGAGCACCAGAAGAUGAGGGCAAAGAAGAAUGCCAGUCUUCUUUCCUGUCUUCCAUGAUGUCAACAGACGGUAGCUCCACCGUAGAAGAGCUGGACAGCUCAAGUCCAGAAGAUAUGAAACUCACAAAUCCUGCUUGCUACAAAAGUACUGAGAUUUUCCUGAGCAGAGCAGCCGGUAUGAAAGAUCUGGUCCGACAGUUCAUCAGCAAAGCUGAACAGACCCUAGUGGUGGUAACUGACAGCUUCAGCGACACAGAGCUGCUGUGUGACCUUCUGGAGGCCAGCAGGAAGAGAAAUGUCUCUGUUUAUCUGCUGUUGGAUCAUCUCAACCUGGACUUGUUUACUAGCACGUGGAAUGGCCAUCAACUCAACAGCAAAGACUUCCCUGUGAGCCUUUUCAUACAUGAAUUUUAAAAAAUGUCAAAGGUAUUUAACUAAGUAUGUGAGAACUGAAAGGUGACAGAUUUUAACUUG